GGAGUGACCCGGAGCCGCCUCCUUGGUUCUGUCCACAUUUUGUUGCUGCACAUAACCAUGGAGGUGGUUGCGGUGCAGCC
rnacentral:pre_miRNA from 2 species